AAGGAUGAGAUGUCUUCUCUGUACAAGCUGCAUGAGCUCCUCCUGGACGCAACGCUGACCGACCCCUUGUAGAGCUUGAGAGUCACCGACCCGGUCGUGGUCUCCGAGAUCUUUUCCAUGAAGGCGUCCAUCGACCGGCGGAGCGGAUCAAACCAGCGGCCGGCGUACACCAGCUCGGCGUACUUGAGGGCGAGCACGUCCUUCACCUGCAUGGUCUCCCGGUCCAGCGUCAAGGAUUCGAGCUCGCGGGCUGCGGUCCAAAGGAUCGUGCCGCCGGGCGUCUCAUAGACGCCGCGAGACUUCAUGCCAACCAGCCGGUUCUCGACCAUGUCCACGCGUCCAAUCCCAUGCUUACCGCCAACCUCGUUGAGCUCCGCGAGGAGGGAUGCAGGGGUGAGUUCUUCUCCAUUGAGGGAGACAGGGAGGAGACAGUGGUUAGGGAGGAAAUUGCUUUCACAAGAUAAACCGCAGCACAUCUGCAAAACAGCAUCUGGUUCUGGUGUAUGGUCUGUGUUGUUCCCAUGAAUGACAGCAUUUUGGAGGGGAAGGUGCAUAAGCAACAGAAAUGCUUAGACACGGAAUAGCAGCAUCAAGAUAAUCAUAGACUGGUCCUCCAGUGACUCAGUGAAAAAGUCAAGAUACCUCAUGGCUAAGGUGCCAUAGAUUACGAUCUCUGCUGUAAAUUGAUUUCCUUGAAACAGGAACAGGAACAUUGUGUUUCUUGGCAUACUCGAUAGCAUCUUCUCGACCUGUGAUCUCCCAUUCCCUCCAUGGUGCCACAACUUUGAGUUCAGGAUUCAGAGCAAAGAAGGCAAGUGUAUUGACUCAAGUUUUGGCCACAUCAUUGCAGUCAGCAAGCUCUGUGCUAUCAUCUCGUCUUAGGUAUGCAACAUAUUCAUCAUUAUAAUACAUGGUUCUAACAUCCCUACUAUUUAAUGUCUUUUGCAAUGAAAUCUCUUAAUCAACUGUCAGCUUCGCUUUAUUACUUGCUUCCCAAAUUACUGUAGUAUGCAUACAGCUGCAUUAUUAUCAUCUAUGACCUUCAUAUAUUACAUGAGACUAUGAGAGGGACAGAGGCACGAAGGCUACUGUAUGAAUUUUAUUGUCCCCACUACUGAAUUUACUGAACUGUCGAAAGUCAUCCAUGGUUGCUCCUCAAGUUUUAUGGCAAUCUCCAUUUCUUGUAUUCCUGGGCCCAUCAAAAGCUUGAGAAGAUGCCUCGAUAUUGUUUGGAAUCUUGAAUUAUGAAAAUUUUCAGUGCUCAGUGAUGGUUUCCAUAUCUUUUCUGCGAUUACAAGCUGUGAAAAAGGUUGACUA